rnacentral:rRNA from 1 species
AUUGAACGCUGGCGGCAUGCCUUACACAUGCAAGUCGAACGGUAACGGGCCUUCGGGUGCCGACGAGUGGCGAACGGGUGAGUAAUACAUCGGAACGUGCCCGAUCGUGGGGGAUAACGAGGCGAAAGCUUUGCUAAUACCGCAUACGAUCUACGGAUGAAAGCAGGGGACCGCAAGGCCUUGUGCGGACGGAGCGGCCGAUGGCAGAUUAGGUAGUUGGUGGGAUAAAAGCUUACCAAGCCGACGAUCUGUAGCUGGUCUGAGAGGAUGAUCAGCCACACUGGGACUGAGACACGGCCCAGACUCCUACGGGAGGCAGCAGUGGGGAAUUUUGGACAAUGGGCGCAAGCCUGAUCCAGCCAUGCCGCGUGCAGGAUGAAGGCCUUCGGGUUGUAAACUGCUUUUGUACGGAACGAAAAGCCUUCUUUUAAUACAGGAGGGUCAUGACGGUACCGUACGAAUAAGCACCGGCUAACUACGUG